rnacentral:rRNA from 1 species
UACGUAGGGGGCAAGCGUUGUCCGGAGUUACUGGGCGUAAAGGGCGCGUAGGCGGCCUAGCAAGUCUGGUGUGAAAGCCCAGGGCUCAACCCUGGAAGGGCACUGGAAACUGUUAGGCUUGAGUUCCGGAGAGGAGGGGGGAAUUCCCGGUGUAGCGGUGAAAUGCGUAGAUAUCGGGAGGAAUACCGGUGGCGAAGGCGCCCCUCUGGACGGAAACUGACGCUGAGGCGCGAAAGCGUGGGGAGCAAACAGG